UUUUUUUUCAUUUACAUCAAUCCCAUCUGAACCAUACAAGGGUACUGAACAAUAAAUAGCUUGCAUUCAUUUUUCAUUGAAGUCAAGACCUUUUAGAACUUGAAUAAGUUAUUUACAUCACAUGUAUUAGGUGAUGGGUACAAAACAUCAGCAUCACAAUAAAUAGUUAUCAUCUCCACAUCAGGAAUCAUGUUUUUGAACAAAUUAAAAUGAUCUUUAAAGGCAUAGCAUACACAACUUUUAUUAGGCAACAGGAAUGAACCAGAUUGGCAAACAAUGAAAGAAGAACUGUAUUUGAAAUGCUCAAGAUCACAAGUGUGUCAUCAUACAUUUUAGAAUUUAAAUCAUCCGGGAUUUCUUGUUAAAUUGAACCAUAUUGUACCAGAAUUCCCCUCUAAUCAAAAAACCAUGUGCUCGCAAAUACUUUGCAAUGAGGCUUUUAUAUACAUUUAUAUAUAUGUAUAUAUAUAAUAUAUGAAGAGAGACAUCAAUAUGGAAAUCUUUGAAUUCUGGAUGAGUUUUAAAUCUAAUCCCCCGUCCUCUACUACAAACUGACAAACUAGACACUAUUUUGGCAACUCUUGCUCUUGGUGCCACCAUCCAAACCUCACAAGGAAGCCUGACAAUACUGAAUAUGCUGUGUGACAAUAUUCAGGGUUCUUUGUCACACCAGCUAAUGUCAUCAAGGACAUGGGUGCACAAGCAAUGUUACUUUGGUAUGAAAAGGCAAUGUUCAUAGCAAUGGUAUCGUUGUGCAAUUUGUCAUAUUCAUUUUCACAGACUCACAGGAUUUAUAGUUAAAGGGGCCUAAGAUUAUCAGAUAGACUUCUUAAGUUUACAAAGAAGGAAACUGAAGCUGAUAGAGGGGGAGUGACUUGGCCAAGAUCAUACAGCUUGUAAUGUAGCUGGCUUCUGAAUCUAGGUCCCAACUACACAAGUCCAGUGCUAUGUCACACUGUGAUUAUUUCCUCUCAAAACAGUCAAUCCUCCUCACAAGAAAAAAAAAAAGGAUAAAAUUAGAGAAACCAUCUCCUAAGGCUUUGCAAGAAAAGUAAAGUUAAAUGCAAGAGUAAGUGGAAAUAAAAUCUUUUAUAUUCAUAAAAAAAAAUUGCUUGUAUCUUUUUAAAUGACAGCAUGGAAUCAUAAGGGGAAUCAAAUUUUGUUACUCUAGAAAUGAAACACUUAGCAAUGAAAUCAGAUAUAAUAAUCCUUUCCUUUCUCCCUCCCUCCAAAAAAAAGCAGGCGUCUAUAGAUGCAGAAAAUGAAGGAAAUUGUAUUAGGAAAGGUCCUUAGAAAAAACUCAAAGGCUUUUGCUUUCAAGUUAAUAUUAAGAAUUGAAAUAUAAAUAUUUGGAGGUAAAGGCAUGAAGCUACUUCUCACCAAAAAAU
rnacentral:lncRNA from 1 species